UCAUUCUCUCUCUCUCUCUCUCUCUCUUUCUCUCUCUCUCUACCUAGAUUCCUGUUAACGCUUAAUUUCUCAGACCUGCCAACCUUGGAAAAAUUUUUUGAGUAGCAACUUACUGCAGCGACGCGGCGCGAGGUCAGGCACAUUUGCUGUGUUGAUUCUGGUAACCAUGCAUUGCUCUGUUUGCCUGACGCUCAACCCCUGGUUGAUUUUAUUUGCCCGAGAAAGAAAUUCUGGCAGAAAAGCUAGGCUCCCACUGGGAAACCAAUUCAAUGCCAGCAAGACGUUACCACGGAUCCCGGAGGAGCUUAAAAUGUGCUCAAAGACAUUACAGUGAAUCUCGGAGGAGCUGCAGCCCAGAGAGGCUGAUCUUUCAGGAACCCUCCAUCAUACUCCACAUGGUACUUCUUCACCUGAAAGCCAGGAAGGUAUGAUGCCAGUCUUCUCAAUGAAAAACUAGUUUUUUCACCAAUCAGUGGUCAGUGAAAGAAGCCAAUCACUGUGAUAUACUGUGAGUAUUAUUUAUUGGCCAUUUCUCACUUUGAAUGAACUACUGCAUCAUACAACUGACAAAGCAUUUUUUAUCACAGGCUUUACCAUAUAACCCCCUUCACCGC